rnacentral:rRNA from 1 species
CAGUCGAGCGGACAGAUGGGAGCUUGCUCCCUGAUGUUAGCGGCGGACGGGUGAGUAACACGUGGGUAACCUGCCUGUAAGACUGGGAUAACUCCGGGAAACCGGGGCUAAUACCGGAUGGUUGUUUGAACCGCAUGGUUCAGACAUAAAAGGUGGCUUCGGCUACCACUUACAGAUGGACCCGCGGCGCAUUAGCUAGUUGGUGAGGUAACGGCUCACCAAGGCGACGAUGCGUAGCCGACCUGAGAGGGUGAUCGGCCACACUGGGACUGAGACACGGCCCAGACUCCUACGGGAGGCAGCAGUAGGGAAUCUUCCGCAAUGGACGAAAGUCUGACGGAGCAACGCCGCGUGAGUGAUGAAGGUUUUCGGAUCGUAAAGCUCUGUUGUUAGGGAAGAACAAGUGCCGUUCAAAUAGGGCGGCACCUUGACGGUACCUAACCAGAAAGCCACGGCUAACUACGUGCCAGCAGCCGCGGUAAUACGUAGGUGGCAAGCGUUGUCCGGAAUUAUUGGGCGUAAAGGGCUCGCAGGCGGUUUCUUAAGUCUGAUGUGAAAGCCCCCGGCUCAACCGGGGAGGGUCAUUGGAAACUGGGGAACUUGAGUGCAGAAGAGGAGAGUGGAAUUCCACGUGUAGCGGUGAAAUGCGUAGAGAUGUGGAGGAACACCAGUGGCGAAGGCGACUCUCUGGUCUGUAACUGACGCUGAGGAGCGAAAGCGUGGGGAGCGAACAGGAUUAGAUACCCUGGUAGUCCACGCCGUAAACGAUGAGUGCUAAGUGUUAGGGGGUUUCCGCCCCUUAGUGCUGCAGCUAACGCAUUAAGCACUCCGCCUGGGGAGUACGGUCGCAAGACUGAAACUCAAAGGAAUUGACGGGGGCCC